GAAAAAAAGUCUCCGUUGGUGACCAGCGGAGGGAUCAUUACCGAGUUAUUCAACUCAUCAACCCUGUGAACAUACCUAAACGUUGCUUCGGCGGGAAUAGACGGCCCCGUGAAACGGGCCGCCCCCGCCAGAGGACCCUUAACUCUGUUUCUAUAAUGUUUCUUCUGAGUAAAACAAGCAAAUAAAUUAAAACUUUCAACAACGGAUCUCUUGGCUCUGGCAUCGAUGAAGAACGCAGCGAAAUGCGAUAAGUAAUGUGAAUUGCAGAAUUCAGUGAAUCAUCGAAUCUUUGAACGCACAUUGCGCCCGCCAGUAUUCUGGCGGGCAUGCCUGUUCGAGCGUCAUUACAACCCUCAGGCCCCCGGGCCUGGCGUUGGGGAUCGGCGGAGCCCUUUGUGGGCACACGCCGUCCCCCAAAUACAGUGGCGGUCCCGCCGCAGCUUCCAUCGCGUAGUAGCUAACACCUCGCGACUGGAGAGCGGCGCGGCCACGCCGUAAAACACCCAACUCUUCUGAAGUUGACCUCGAAUCAGGUAGGAAUACCCGCUGAACUUAAGCAUAUCAAAAAACCGGAGGAA
rnacentral:rRNA from 1 species